UGGGGAAUAUUGCACAAUGGGCGAAAGCCUGAUGCAGCAACGCCGCGUGAGUGAUGAAGGUCUUCGGAUUGUAAAGCUCUGUCUUUUGGGACGAUAAUGACGGUACCAAAGGAGGAAGCCACGGCUAACUACGUGCCAGCAGCCGCGGUAAUACGUAGGUGGCGAGCGUUGUCCGGAUUUACUGGGCGUAAAGGGUGCGUAGGCGGAUGUUUAAGUGAGAUGUGAAAUACCCGGGCUUAACUUGGGUGCUGCAUUUCAAACUGGAUAUCUAGAGUGCAGGAGAGGAGAAUGGAAUUCCUAGCGUAGCGGUGAAAUGCGUAGAGAUUAGGAAGAACACCAGUGGCGAAGGCGAUUCUCUGGACUGUAACUGACGCUGAGGCACGAAAGCGUGGGUAGCAAACAGGAUUAGAUACCCUGGUAGUCCACGCCGUAAACGAUGAGUACUAGGUGUAGGAGGUAUCGACCCCUUCUGUGCCGCAGUAAACACAUUAAGUACUCCGCCUGGGAAGUACGAUCGCAAGAUUAAAAC
rnacentral:rRNA from 1 species